UGUCUACUAGUUGUCGGGUCUUAAUUGACUUGGUAACGCAGCUAACGCGUGAAGUAGACCGCCUGGGGAGUACGGUCGCAAGAUUAAAACUCAAAGGAAUUGACGGGGACCCGCACAAGCGGUGGAUGAUGUGGAUUAAUUCGAUGCAACGCGAAAAACCUUACCUACCCUUGACAUGGCUGGAAUCCCCGAGAGAUUGGGGAGUGCUCGAAAGAGAACCAGUACACAGGUGCUGCAUGGCUGUCGUCAG
rnacentral:rRNA from 1 species